UUUGCAGCGCAGUAAUGCUGUAUCUCUUCUCGGGCUCAUGCUAGUUACUCGGCACGCAGGACACCCAUGUCUGCUGUGGCCGGGUUCACAAAACCCAAUCCCUUGUCUAUGCGUACCCUUUGUUUUCCCUCGGCAGGUCCGCCUGCCGCUGGGAACAUUUUCAAACCAAACCGUUAUAUCUGUUUCAACCGUAUCAAAUCAAUCUUACAACUUUCAACAACGGAUCUCUUGGCUCUGGCAUCGAUGAAGAACGCAGCGAAAUGCGAUAAGUAGUGUGAAUUGCAGAAUUCAGUGAAUCAUCGAAUCUUUGAACGCACAUUGCGCCCUAUGGUAUUCCGUAGGGCAUGCCUGUCCGAGCGUCAUUUGACCUCUUCAAGCUUGCUUGGUGUUGGGCGCUUGUCCUUGUGGACUCGCCUUAAAAGCAUUGGUAGCCGUCACUUUGGCUGUCGCGUCGCACGAUGAUGCAAUUUUUGCCGGUUUGUGACAUGGCUUCCAGAAGCACAACCUCAUGGUUGACCUCGGAUCAGGUAGGGAUACCCGCUGAACUUAAGCAUAUCAAUAAGCGGAGAGAA
rnacentral:rRNA from 1 species